rnacentral:rRNA from 1 species
GACGAACGCUGGCGGCGUGCUUAACACAUGCAAGUCGAACGGAAAGGCCUGCUUUCCCUUGUGGAUUGCGGGUACUCGAGUGGCGAACGGGUGAGUAACACGUGAGUGAUCUGCCCCCAACUUGGGUAUAAGCCUGGGAAACUGGGUCUAAUUCCCGAUAGGACUGCAGGGUGGUGCCUGUGGUGGAAAACGAUUUUCUAGUGGUUGGGGAUGAGCUCGCGGCCUAUUAGCUUGUUGGUGGGGUAAUGGCCUACCAAGGCGGCGACGGGUAGCCGGCCUGAGAGGGUGGACGGCGACAUUGGGACUGAGAUACGGCCCAGACUCCUACGGGAGGCAGCAGUGGGGAAUAUUGCACAAUGGGCGGAAGCCUGAUGCAGCGACGCCGCGUGGGGGAUGACGGCCUUCGGGUUGUAAACUCCUUUCGACCGCGAGGAAGCCACCUGGUUGGAAGGGUGGUGACGGUAGUGGUAGAAGAAGCACCGGCUAACUACGUG